UUGAACGCUGGCGGCAGGCCUAACACAUGCAAGUCGAGCGGUAACACAGAGAGCUUGCUCUCGGGUGACGAGCGGCGGACGGGUGAGUAAUGUCUGGGAAACUGCCUGAUGGAGGGGGAUAACUACUGGAAACGGUAGCUAAUACCGCAUAACGUCGCAAGACCAAAGUGGGGGACCUUCGGGCCUCAUGCCAUCAGAUGUGCCCAGAUGGGAUUAGCUAGUAGGUGGGGUAACGGCUCACCUAGGCGACGAUCCCUAGCUGGUCUGAGAGGAUGACCAGCCACACUGGAACUGAGACACGGUCCAGACUCCUACGGGAGGCAGCAGUGGGGAAUAUUGCACAAUGGGCGCAAGCCUGAUGCAGCCAUGCCGCGUGUGUGAAGAAGGCCUUCGGGUUGUAAAGCACUUUCAGCGGGGAGGAAGGCGGUGAGGUUAAUAACCUCAUCGAUUGACGUUACCCGCAGAAGAAGCACCGGCUAACUCCGUGCCAGCAGCCGCGGUAAUACGGAGGGUGCAAGCGUUAAUCGGAAUUACUGGGCGUAAAGCGCACGCAGGCGGUCUGUCAAGUCGGAUGUGAAAUCCCCGGGCUCAACCUGGGAACUGCAUUCGAAACUGGCAGGCUAGAGUCUUGUAGAGGGGGGUAGAAUUCCAGGUGUAGCGGUGAAAUGCGUAGAGAUCUGGAGGAAUACCGGUGGCGAAGGCGGCCCCCUGGACAAAGACUGACGCUCAGGUGCGAAAGCGUGGGGAGCAAACAGGAUUAGAUACCCUGGUAGUCCACGUCGUAAACGAUGUCGAUUUGGAGGUUGUGCCCUUGAGGCGUGGCUUCCGGAGCUAACGCGUUAAAUCGACCGCCUGGGGAGUACGGCCGCAAGGUUAAAACUCAAAUGAAUUGACGGGGGCCCGCACAAGCGGUGGAGCAUGUGGUUUAAUUCGAUGCAACGCGAAGAACCUUACAUGGUCUGGACAUCCACAGAACUUUCCAGAGAUGGAUUGGUGCCUUCGGGAACUGUGAGACAGGUGCUGCAUGGCUGUCGUCAGCUCGUGUUGUGAAAUGUUGGGUUAAGUCCCGCAACGAGCGCAACCCUUAUCCUUUGUUGCCAGCGGUUAGGCCGGGAACUCAAAGGAGACUGCCAGUGAUAAACUGGAGGAAGGUGGGGAUGACGUCAAGUCAUCAUGGCCCUUACGACCAGGGCUACACACGUGCUACAAUGGCAUAUACAAAGAGAAGCGACCUCGCGAGAGCAAGCGGACCUCAUAAAGUAUGUCGUAGUCCGGAUUGGAGUCUGCAACUCGACUCCAUGAAGUCGGAAUCGCUAGUAAUCGUAGAUCAGAAUGCUACGGUGAAUACGUUCCCGGGCCUUGUACACACCGCCCGUCACACCAUGGGAGUGGGUUGCAAAAGAAGUAGGUAGCUUAACCUUCGGGAGGGCGCUUACCACUUUGUGAUUCAUGACUGGGGUG
rnacentral:rRNA from 1 species